AGUGGAAUUGCUGGGUCAUAGGGUAACUUAAUGUUUAAGUGUUUGAGGAACUGCCAGACUGUUUUCCAAAUUGGCCAUAUUUUACAUUCCCAUCAGGAGU
rnacentral:pre_miRNA from 1 species